rnacentral:rRNA from 1 species
GGGAAUAUUGCGCAAUGGACGGAAGUCUGACGCAGCGACGCCGCGUGAGGGAUGACGGCCUUCGGGUUGUAAACCUCUUUCACCAUCGACGCAGCCUUUCGGGGUGACGGUAGGUGGGGAAGAAGCACCGGCUAACUACGUGCCAGCAGCCGCGGUAAUACGUAGGGUGCGAGCGUUGUCCGGAAUUAUUGGGCGUAAAGAGCUCGUAGGCGGUUUGUUGCGUCGGCCGUGAAAACUAGAGGCUUAACUUUUAGCUUGCGGUCGAUACGGGCAGACUUGAGUUCGGUAGGGGAGACUGGAAUUCCUGGUGUAGCGGUGAAAUGCGCAGAUAUCAGGAGGAACACCGGUGGCGAAGGCGGGUCUCUGGGCCGAUACUGACGCUGAGGAGCGAAAGCGUGGGGAGCGAA